rnacentral:rRNA from 1 species
UACGGAGGGUCCAAGCGUUAUCCGGAAUCAUUGGGUUUAAAGGGUUCGCAGGCGGUUUAAUAAGUCAGUGGUGAAAUCCCGUAGCUCAACUACGGAACUGCCAUUGAUACUGUUAGACUUGAAUAUAGUUGGAGUAGGCGGAAUGUGUAGUGUAGCGGUGAAAUGCUUAGAUAUUACACAGAACACCGAUAGCGAAGGCA